rnacentral:rRNA from 1 species
CCCUUAGAUGUUCUGGGCCGCACGCGCGCUACACUGAUGCAUUCAACGAGUCUAAAACCUGCUCUGAUAGGGGUGGGUAAUCUUUUGAAUGUGCAUCGUGAUUGGGAUAGAUGAUUGCAAUUUUUCAUCUUCAACGAGGAAUGCCUAGUAAACGCAAGUCAUCAGCUUGCAUUGAUUACGUCCCUGCCCUUUGUACACACCGCCCGUCGCUCCUACCGAUUGAAUGAUCCGAUGAAUAUCAUGGAUUGAGGAUGCAAGCAGGUUCGCCUGUCUUCAUCUUCGAGAAGUGAAGUAAUCUUAUCAUUUAGAGGAAGGAGAAGUCGUAACA